rnacentral:rRNA from 1 species
CCUACGGGGGGCUGCAGUGGGGAAUAUUGGACAAUGGGGGGAACCCUGACGCAGCGACGCCGCGUGAGGGAUGAAGGUCUUCGGAUCGUAAACCUCUGUCAGCAGGGAAGAACGGUCACUGUGCUAAUCAGCAGUGAAUUGACGGUACCUGCAAAGGAAGCACCGGCUAACUCCGUGCCAGCAGCCGCGGUAAUACGGAGGGUGCGAGCGUUAAUCGGAAUUAAUGGGCGUAAAGCGCUCGUAGGCGGUAUGUCAAGUCAAGGGUGAAAUCCCCGCGCUCAACGUGGGAACUGCCUUUGAAACUGGCAAACUGGAGUGUGUGAGAGGAUAGUGGAAUUCCAGGUGUAGGAGUGAAAUCCGUAGAUAUCUGGAGGAACAUCAGUGGCGAAGGCGACUAUCUGGCACAUAACUGACGCUGAGGAGCGAAAGCGUGGGUAGCAAACAGGAUUAGAUACCCCAGUAGUC